GGGAGUGGCAAGCGUUAUCCGGAAUUAUUGGGCGUAAAGCGUCCGCAGGCGGCCUGACAAGUCUGCUGUUAAAGCGUGGAGCUUAACUCCAUUUCAGCAGUGGAAACUGUCAGGCUUGAGUGUGGUAGGGGCAGAGGGAAUUCCCGGUGUAGCGGUGAAGUGCGUAGAUAUCGGGAAGAACACCAGUGGCGAAAGCGCUCUGCUGGGCCAUCACUGACGCUCAUGGACGAAAGCCAGGGGAGCGAAAGGGAUUAGAUACCCCUGUAGUCCUGGCCGUAAACGAUGAACACUAGGUGUCGGGGGAAUCGACCCCUCCGGUGUCGUAGCCAACGCGUUAAGUGUUCCGCCUGGGGAGUACGCACGCAAGUGUG
rnacentral:rRNA from 1 species